rnacentral:rRNA from 1 species
GACGAACGCUGGCGGCGUGCUUAACACAUGCAAGUCGAACGGUGAAGCGCCUUCCUUUUUGGUGGGUGUGGAUGAGUGGCGAACGGGUGAGUAACACGUGAGUAACCUGCCCCCUUCUUCUGGAUAACCGCAUGAAAGUGUGGCUAAUACGGGAUAUUCUGGGUCUGUCGCAUGAUGGGUCUGGGAAAGAUAUUGUUUCGGUGGGGGAUGGGCUCGCGGCCUAUCAGCUUGUUGGUGGGGUGAUGGCCUACCAAGGCGGUGACGGGUAGCCGGCCUGGGAGGGUGGACGGUCACACUGGGACUGAGACGCGGCCCAGACUCCUACGGGAGGCAGCAGUGGGGAAUAUUGCACAAUGGGCGCAAGCAUGAUGCAGCGACGCCGCGUGAGGGAUGGAGGCCUUCGGGUUGUGAACCUCUUUCGCCAGUGAAGCAGGCCUGCCUCGUUUGUGGGUGGGUUGACGGUAGCUGGAUAAGAAGCGCCGGCUAACUACGUG